rnacentral:rRNA from 1 species
CCUACGGGUCGCAGCAGUAGGGAAUCUUCCGCAAUGGACGAAAGUCUGACGGAGCAACGCCGCGUGAGUGAUGAAGGCUUUCGGGUCGUAAAACUCUGUUGUUAGGGAAGAACAAGUGCUAGUUGAAUAAGCUGGCACCUUGACGUUACCUAACCAGAAAGCCACGGCUAACUACGUGCCAGCAGCCGCGGUAAUACGUAGGUGGCAAGCGUUAUCCGGAAUUAUUGGGCGUAAAGCGCGCGCAGGUGGUUUCUUAAGUCUGAUGUGAAAGCCCACGGCUCAACCGUGGAGGGUCAUUGGAAACUGGGAGACUUGAGUGCAGAAGAGGAAAGUGGAAUUCCAUGUGUAGCGGUGAAAUGCGUAGAGAUAUGGAGGAACACCAGUGGCGAAGGCGACUUUCUGGUCUGUAACUGACACUGAGGCGCGAAAGCGUGGGGAGCAAACAGGAUUAGAUACCCGUGUAGUC